rnacentral:rRNA from 1 species
GUCUAUGGCCACACCACCCUGAAUGAGCCCAAUCUUAUCUGAUCUUGGAAGCUAAGCAGGGUUGGGCCUGGAUGGGAGAACUGGCUUUCCUGAUGUCAAGAUAUGUUGUCAAGCCA